GACGAACGCUGUUGGCGUGCUUAACACAUGCAAGUCGAACGGAAAGGCCCUGCUUUUGUGGGGUGCUCGAGUGGCGAACGGGUGAGUAACACGUGAGUAACCUGCCCUUGACUUUGGGAUAACUUCAGGAAACUGGGGCUAAUACCGGAUAGGAGCUCCUGCUGCAUGGUGGGGGUUGGAAAGUUUCGGCGGUUGGGGAUGGACUCGCGGCUUAUCAGCUUGUUGGUGGGGUAGUGGCUUACCAAGGCUUUGACGGGUAGCCGGCCUGAGAGGGUGACCGGCCACAUUGGGACUGAGAUACGGCCCAGACUCCUACGGGAGGCAGCAGUGGGGAAUAUUGCACAAUGGGCGGAAGCCUGAUGCAGCAACGCCGCGUGCGGGAUGACGGCCUUCGGGUUGUAAACCGCUUUCGCCUGUGACGAAGCGUGAGUGACGGUAAUGGGUAAAGAAGCACCGGCUAACUACGUGCCAGCAGCCGCGGUGAUACGUAGGGUGCGAGCGUUGUCCGGAUUUAUUGGGCGUAAAGGGCUCGUAGGUGGUUGAUCGCGUCGGAAGUGUAAUCUUGGGGCUUAACCCUGAGCGUGCUUUCGAUACGGGUUGACUUGAGGAAGGUAGGGGAGAAUGGAAUUCCUGGUGGAGCGGUGGAAUGCGCAGAUAUCAGGAGGAACACCAGUGGCGAAGGCGGUUCUCUGGGCCUUUCCUGACGCUGAGGAGCGAAAGCGUGGGGAGCGAACAGGCUUAGAUACCCUGGUAGUCCACGCUGUAAACGGUGGGUACUAGGCGUGGGGUCCAUUCCACGGGUUCCGUGCCGUAGCUAACGCUUUAAGUACCCCGCCUGGGGAGUACGGCCGCAAGGCUAAAACUCAAAGGAAUUGACGGGGCCCCGCACAAGCGGCGGAGCAUGCGGAUUAAUUCGAUGCAACGCGUAGAACCUUACCUGGGUUUGACAUGGAUCGGGAGUGCUCAGAGAUGGGUGUGCCUCUUUUGGGGUCGGUUCACAGGUGGUGCAUGGCUGUCGUCAGCUCGUGUCGUGAGAUGUUGGGUUAAGUCCCGCAACGAGCGCAACCCUUGUUCACUGUUGCCAGCACGUUAUGGUGGGGACUCAGUGGAGACCGCCGGGGUCAACUCGGAGGAAGGUGGGGAUGACGUCAAGUCAUCAUGCCCCUUAUGUCCAGGGCUUCACGCAUGCUACAAUGGCUGGUACAGAGAGUGGCGAGCCUGUGAGGGUGAGCGAAUCUCGGAAAGCCGGUCUCAGUUCGGAUUGGGGUCUGCAACUCGACCUCAUGAAGUCGGAGUCGCUAGUAAUCGCAGAUCAGCAACGCUGCGGUGAAUACGUUCCCGGGGCU
rnacentral:rRNA from 1 species